CACGUAGGCACCAAGCGUUGUCCGGAUUUAUUGGGCGUAAAGAGCUUGUAGGCGGUUCGGUUAGUCGGGUGUGAAACCUCUGGGCUCAACUCAGAGACGCCACCCGAUACUGCUGUGACUAGAGUGCGGUAGGGGAGCGGGGAAUUCCAGGUGUAGCGGUGAAAUGCGUAGAUAUCUGGAGGAACACCGGUGGCGAAGGCGGCAUCCUGGACCAACACUGACACUGAGGAGCGAAAGCCAGGGGAGCAAACGGG
rnacentral:rRNA from 1 species